CAUGGCCUAUUGUAAAAUAUUUUAGGUCUGACCUGCCCAAUGAAAAAUUUUAAUGGCCGCGGUAUUUUGACCGUGCAAAGGUAGCAUAAUCAUUAGUUUUUUAAUUAAAAGCUUGUAUGAAAGGUUUGAUGAGAAAAAAGCUGUCUCUAUUUAAAUUUAUUAAAAAUUUAUUUUUAAGUUAAAAAGCUUAAAUAUUUAUAAAAGACGAGAAGACCCUAUAGAGUUUUAUAAUAAUAUAGGUAUUUAUUAUUUUAGUAAAAAAUUUACUUAUAUAAUUAUUUAAUUGGGGUGAUUAAAAAAUUAAAUAAACUUUUUUUUAAUUAAGACAUUUAUUUAUGAAUUCUUGAUCCUAAUAUAAAGAUUAAAAGAUUAAAUUACCUUAGGGAUAACAGCGUAAUUUUUUUUAAGAGUUCAAAUCGAAAAAAAAGAUUGCGACCUCGAUGUUGGAUUAAAAUGAA
rnacentral:rRNA from 1 species